AAAGAUUUGAAGAAAGCAGAUUAAGGUGAGCAAGUUGGAUAGAUGGUGGCUAAUAUCAGUAUAAAGUGAGGUGGUGCUUAUGAAAGUACCGACAAAAUCUUUAGAAAGGAGACGCCUUGUUUGGUUUCAAUUGUAGAAGUGCCGUACUUAAUGUUAGGUUUCGGUACAUUCAUCGUUACCUUGUUAGGUAUAGCAAUCACAA
rnacentral:sRNA from 1 species